AUUGAACGCUGGCGGCAGGCCUAACACAUGCAAGUCGAGCGAGAGGCGGACGGGUGAGUAAUGUCUGGGAAACUGCCUGAUGGAGGGGGAUAAAUCCUGGAAACGGUAGCUAAUACAGCAUACCAUCAGAUGUGCCCAGAUGGGAUUAGCGAGUAGGUGGGGUAACGGCCCACCUAGGCGACGAUCCCUAGCUGGUCUGAGAGGAUGACCAGCCACACUGGAACUGAGACACGGUCCAGACUCCUACGGGAGGCAGCAGUGGGGAAUAUUGCACAAUGGGAGCAAGCCUGAUGCAGCCAUGCCGCGUGUAUGAAGAAGGCCUUCGGGUUGUAAAGUACUUUCAGCUGGGAGGCGUUACCCGCAGAAGAAGCACCGGCUAACUCCGUGCCAGCAGCCGCGGUAAUUC
rnacentral:rRNA from 1 species